GACGUAGGGCGCGAGCGUUGUCCGGAUUUAUUGGGCGUAAAGAGCUCGUAGGCGGCUUGUCGCGUCGGCUGUGAAAACCCGCGGCUCAACUGUGGGCGGGCAGCUGAUACGGGCAGGCUGGAGUUCGGUAGGGGAGACUGGAAUUCCUGGUGUAGCGGUGAAAUGCGCAGAUAUCAGGAGGAACACCGGUGACGAAGGCGGGUCUCUGGGCCGAUACUGACGCUGAGGAGCGAAAGCGUGGGGAGCGAACAGG
rnacentral:rRNA from 1 species